CCUACGGGAGGCAGCAGUGGGGAAUAUUGCACAAUGGGGGAAACCCUGAUGCAGCGACGCCGCGUGAGUGAAGAAGUAUUUCGGUAUGUAAAGCUCUAUCAGCAGGGAAGAAACUGACGGUACCUGAGUAAGAAGCCCCGGCUAACUACGUGCCAGCAGCCGCGGUAAUACGUAGGGGGCAAGCGUUAUCCGGAUUUACUGGGUGUAAAGGGAGCGUAGACGGCGUAGCAAGUCUGAAGUGAAAGCCCGAGGCUUAACCAUGGAACUGCUUUGGAAACUGUGUUGCUGGAGUACAGGAGAGGGAAGCGGAAUUCCUAGUGUAGCGGUGAAAUGCGUAGAUAUUAGGAGGAACACCAGUGGCGAAGGCGGCUUACUGGACGGUAACUGACGUUGAGGCUCGAAAGCGUGGGGAGCAAACAGGAUUAGAUACCCGAGUAGUC
rnacentral:rRNA from 1 species